rnacentral:rRNA from 1 species
GAUGAACGCUGGCGGCGUGCCUAAUACAUGCAAGUCGAGCGAACGGACGAGAAGCUUGCUUCUCUGAUGUUAGCGGCGGACGGGUGAGUAACACGUGGAUAACCUACCUAUAAGACUGGGAUAACUUCGGGAAACCGGAGCUAAUACCGGAUGAUAUUUUGAACCGCAUGGUUCAAAAGUGAAAGACGGUCUUGCUGUCACUUAUAGAUGGAUCCGCGCUGCAUUAGCUAGUUGGUAAGGUAACGGCUUACCAAGGCAACGAUGCAUAGCCGACCUGAGAGGGUGAUCGGCCACACUGGAACUGAGACACGGUCCAGACUCCUACGGGAGGCAGCAGUAGGGACUCUUCCGCAAUGGGCGAAAGCCUGACGGAGCAACGCCGCGUGAGUGAUGAAGGUCUUCGGAUCGUAAAACUCUGUUAUUAGGGAAGAACAUAUGUGUAAGUAACUGUGCACAUCUUGACGGUACCUAAUCAGAAAGCCACGGCUAACUACGUG